rnacentral:piRNA from 1 species
GUAGGUUUUAAGCCUUUAUUUCAGGUGUAG